ensembl:ncRNA Y14H12A.4 ncRNA
AGAAGCGUCUGAAUUCUCAAAAAUGGAGGUAAAUAAUCGUAUGAACAAUCUACUUGCGACGAAUUGGUCAAAAAUUGAUGCAGAAAAACGUAUAAAUAUUCUACUCAUUGCUUUAUUCUUCUCAAUUGUUUUUUCCUGGUCUCUUAACGGUAUUUCACUUUUUGUGCCACAAUGGAAUGUAAUUCCAUAUACCGGUUCUUGAUAUACAGUACCAGCUGGUUUCUUUCCGCCAAAUUUUCUGAAGUAUCCGUCAUACUUCAGUGUGGUCACUUUGAUGAUGAUUCUAUCGUUUUGUGCAACUGUGACUGCUGCCUUAUUCUACAUUUUUUCUCUAUUUGCAACACUUCGCCGUUCGAAUCGUGCAUCCAAACUCGGUUUCCUGAUCAUUGCGGGUCUCAUGCCGUGCGCUGGAAUUCUUCAAAUACUUUCGUUUAUUAUUAUUGCAAGUGAAUUCGGGUAUAACUGGAAGGAAAUAAAAAUGGGAGCCUGUGAGUAUCUGGCACUUGUUUCAGGACUAGUCGACUGCCUAGUGGUUGUUCCACUGUCGAUUAUUCUAUCAAGGACUGAUUUUAAAAUUCAGGUUCAUACCAAAAAUCCAUCUCUGAGCUCGUCGAGUGAACGCUUUUAA